AGAGUAGUCCAGGUGAUCGCUGGCGUCAGGGACUUGCCGUCCCUGGACGCUGGAGGAAAGUCCGAGCUCCGCAGGGCAGGGUGCUUCGUAACACGAAGUCGUGGUGACGCGAAGGAAAGUGCCACAGAAAGAAAACCGCCUGACAAGGGUUCGCCCAAAAAUAAAUUUACAUUUUCAGGGGUUGAGGCGCCCGCAUGGCAAGGCGCGAGAAGGGCGAAUAGCAGGGCUAUUUAACCGACGAGCAACGCAGCCAUGCGGGAUGGAUCGACGCAUGAAAAUAGGGAGUUGUCUUUGGGCGAGCCCUAAGGUAAGGGUGAAAAGGUGCGGUAAGAGCGCACCAGUUCUUCGGGUGACCGGAGAAGCUUGGUAAACCCCACCCGGAGCAAGACCAAAUAGGAGAGCGUUUGAGGGCUGCCCGUCCAAGGCUUUCGGGUUGGUCGCGAGAGGUGUCGAGCAAUCGGCAUCCUUAGAUGAAUGAUCAUCGUUCCGUUGAGGGUGACUGAUACGGAAAACAGGACUCGGCUUACGGACUGCUCUGACA
rnacentral:RNase_P_RNA from 2 species